CUUAACUGAGUUUAACUCAGGCUUGAGUUAAAGAUGUCUUACCUUCCAAUCAUACAAUGAUUAAUUAAUCAUUUCUCAGUCAUAUUGCCCUUUUCCUGUAUUUGACUAAAAUGUUGUAUCAGUUCUAUAUUAAAUCCUCAACGAUAUUUCCUGUCCCACUGUGUAAUUUUAGCCUUAAUCAACUUAACACCUCUGGUAUAUUUAAAAAGCCUUUUUUUCUGGGUUUGUGGGUUUCUGAUUUGCUAACACAACAGGCUGGGAUUGAUACAGUGCUGUUAUAGCAUAAUUUUGCUAUACAACAGACAGGAGGACAACAGUGGAAGUAAGUGAUAGAGUGAGGUAUGAAUGUUGACCCUGGCCAAUGUUUUUUUUUUUUCUGUCUGUAUUGACCUAAACCACCCUCAUCCAGCCCUCUGCUCUUAUCUGUGUGUCUGUCUGUGGAUUAUUGAACCAGCACUGCAGCAGCCUGAGCCAGCCACUCAGCUAUUAGUCUGCCCUACCAUACUCUAUCCCUCUCCCUCUGGCUGACUGGGAUCUGAUCUAGGGGACUCGGGGUGAAAAGGAAGGCUCUGGUUGCAGUCAGAGACCAAGGUCAGCACGUUACAUUGACUGGACAACACAGUGAGGUGAAUACUGCUCAUCUGUGGUCACCAGGAAGAGUGGUGGCUUUGGAGUUUCUUAGCAGUAGAGAGAGACAGUAAAGACAGGGAAGAGAGAGGGGAUGACAUGCAGCAAAGGCCCCGGCCGGAUUCAAACCUAGACUGCUGCAGUAAGGCCUCAGCCUUGAUUUGUGGAACACACUCUACCAGCUCCACCUCAGCAGCCCAACACAGCCGUAGCGGGAAAGACGAUGUUUUGAAUGAAUGAAUCGACGCCUCGGUGCACAGCAGAGGACGUCAGCAGUAGCAGCACUACCAGCUGAGAGGAGUACACACACACACAGGCACCACUGAGAAGAGCAGCGCACAGCACAGCGAAUCACAGAUCUGCAGCUAACAUGUUGGGCCAACCAGGACAGUCAACCUUACACGUCCCUUACAAGAGGCAGCCAGGGAAUCAUGCGACUCACAGCCACAACUUGAGGACUACAUCAUUUCGGCACCCUGUCACCGGACAGAUUUCCCCUGAAAAC